GACAGAGGGGGCACGCGUUGUCCGGAGUUACUGGGCGUAAAGGGCGCGGAAGCGGUCUGCGGCGUCGGCGCUGAAAGCGACGCGCAAAACGGGGCGAGGCGUGCCGAUACGCGCAGACUUGAGGCGAGCAGAGGGUGGUGGAAUUCCGGGUGGAGCGGUGAAAUGCGUAGAGAUCCGGAGGAACGCCAGUGGGGAAGCCGGCCACCUGGGCUCGUCCUGACGCUGCGGCGCGACCGCGUGGGGAGCAAACCGG
rnacentral:rRNA from 1 species